AGAGUUUGAUCCUGGCUCAGAACGAACGCUGGCGGCGUGCCUAACACAUGCAAGUCGAGGGGUAUCACGCUUUCGGGCGUGAGAGACCGGCGCACGGGUGCGUAACGCGUAUAGAACCUACCUUUUACAGAGGGAUAGCCCAGAGAAAUUUGGAUUAAUACCUCAUAAUAAGUUUUACCGGCAUCGGUAGAACUUUAAAGCUCCGGCGGUAAGAGAUGGGCAUGCGUGCCAUUAGCUAGUUGGUGAGGUAAUGGCUUACCAUGGCGACGAUCGGUAGCCGGACUGAGAGGUUGAACGGCCACAUUGGGACUGAGACACGGCCCAGACUCCUACGGGAGGCAGCAGUGGGGAAUUUUGGACAAUGGGCGCAAGCCUGAUCCAGCCAUGCCGCGUGCAGGAUGACGGCCCUAUGGUUGUAAACUGCUUUUAUACAGGAAGAACACUCCCUCGUGAGGGAACUUGACGGUACUGUAUGAAUAAGCACCGGCUAACUCCGUGCCAGCAGCCGCGGUG
rnacentral:rRNA from 1 species